AUCUGCAUCAAGGACCAACGUUUAGGGAAUUACUCACAUUUUCUGCUUGUGAUUUAUUUUCAGUUGUUUCUAUGGUUGCUGAGGAAGAAUUUUAAAAAAGACCUGUUUCAAAGGUUUUACUGACAAUUACCUGGAGUUGGUGCAUAAAGAUAAGGUCUUUUGAUUGCACUUUCCAUCAUCCAAGAGGCAAACCAAAGUGCUGCACACGUACAAAACAUUUAAAACAACACAUGGCCAACAAUAAAUUAUAGGUAAAAACAUGAAACUAAACCAAAGAAUGUCGGUGAAAAACAAGAUAAACUAAUUAAAAUACAACUGGAUAAAAAUUUGUCAAGUUGUCUAAAAUUCUCUAAAAAUAUAGCUAACUCGUGUGCUGAGGGAACGCCACUGUGUAAAAGUGAGUCUUCAUCUCUUAAAGGAGCAUGGGGCAGGAUGAAGAAACGAAACUCAUUAGUGACGCACUCGGCGCUGUGAGUAACUGCAGCCCGGCACGAGAGCGCGCACAAACUCUUCACGAGAAAAAAAAAAGUUACAGUGAUGUACGGCCAGAGCGCGGCUCGAACAAGACACCGUGUCGAGCGAUGAAGAAUUCAUAUUGGAAGCAGUGAUGGAAGACAGUUCAGAUGGAGUGUGCCCGAGCCUGCCACAGACUUUGAUGUGUCGUGGGAAAGUCUGAGACCAGGGGCUAAAGGAAAGGGGAGAGGAAAAGGUCACUCCGAGGGUCGGGGAAGGACACGCUCAAGGGGUGAGGGCAGCAGGUUGAGGUCCAGAGCUCCUUCAAGAGGACCAGGGCGCCGGGGUAGGCAGUGAACAGCUUUCAAAGAAGAGGACCGAGACCGGCUUGCACAGCUGAGAGCUGCCAGUAUAGCUGAGAUGCAGACAGCUUUACAACACCUGAGCCAGGAGGAGAGAGAUUAUAUUCUCGAGAGAGUGGUGACCCGUCUUCCAGGGGUGAUGCUGGAUAUCCUGGAGUUUCGGCAAGAGACGCCAGGACACCAUCUUCCUGACUGAGGGCACCCUAACCCAAAAAUCCAAACCGUUUAUCUACAACUACAGUAGUUCCAAAACAGCACAAUACCUCAAAAUAACUUUAGCUGAAGACAGCAUUUUCACCCAAAAAUGAACAAACAGUUUGUGCAAAAUAU